rnacentral:rRNA from 1 species
UACGGAGGGUGCAAGCGUUAUCCGGAUUCACUGGGUUUAAAGGGUGCGUAGGUGGGCAGGUAAGUCAGUGGUGAAAUCUCCGAGCUUAACUCGGAACUGCCGUUGAUACUAUUUGUCUUGAAUAUUGUGGAGGUAAGCGGAAUAUGUCAUGUAGCGGUGAAAUGCUUAGAUAUGACAUAGAACACCAAUUGCGAAAGGCAGCUUACUACACAAUGAUUGACGCUGAGGCACGAAAGCGUGGGGAUCAAACAGG